GAAAUGCGAUAAGUAGUGUGAAUUGCAGAAUUCAGUGAAUCAUCGAAUCUUUGAACGCACCUUGCGCUUCCUGGUAUUCCGGGGAGCAUGCCCGUUUCAGAAUCAUUAAAACUCUCAUCAAGUAAUUGAUGGACUCUGGGUUCUUUUCUUGCCAUUGUGGAAGAAUAGCCUUAAAAUGAUUAUUGUGUGGUUCCGCCUGGUCGGAUAACUAUCAAAGUGCAACAGAGUAAAAUCCAAACAUUUUGAUUAGAUGUCAGACGAGAACGAAACGUGCAAUUAAAACCAUUAAAACAGUUCCUUUCGGGGGCUGUAAACCUUGGUCUGAAAUCGGGCAAGAAAACCCGCUGAACUUAA
rnacentral:misc_RNA from 1 species